AUUGAACGCUGGCGGCAGGCCUAACACAUGCAAGUCGAACGGUAACAGGAAGAAGCUUGCUUCUUUGCUGACGAGUGGCGGACGGGUGAGUAAUGUCUGGGAAACUGCCUGAUGGAGGGGGAUAACUACUGGAAACGGUAGCUAAUACCGCAUAACGUCGCAAGACCAAAGAGGGGGACCUUCGGGCCUCUUGCCAUCGGAUGUGCCCAGAUGGGAUUAGCUAGUAGGUGGGGUAACGGCUCACCUAGGCGACGAUCCCUAGCUGGUCUGAGAGGAUGACCAGCCACACUGGAACUGAGACACGGUCCAGACUCCUACGGGAGGCAGCAGUGGGGAAUAUUGCACAAUGGGCGCGAGCCUGAUGCAGCCAUGCCGCGUGUAUGAAGAAGGCCUUCGGGUUGUAGAGUACUUUCAGCGGGGAGGAAGGGAGUAAAGUUAAUACCUUUGCUCAUUGACGUUACCCGCAGAAGAAGCACCGGCUAACUCCGUG
rnacentral:rRNA from 1 species